rnacentral:rRNA from 1 species
AUAGAGUACUAGAGUUUGAUCAUGGCUCAGGACGAACGCUGGCGGCGUGCUUAACACAUGCAAGUCGAACGAUAAACCUGGAGCUUGCUCCGGGGGAUUAGUGGCGAACGGGUGAGUAACACGUGAGUAACCUGCCCUUGACUCUGGGAUAACCUCCGGAAACGGAAGCUAAUACCGGAUAUGACGUACGGAGGCAUCUCCUGUACGUGGAAAGAACUUCGGUCAAGGAUGGACUCGCGGCCUAUCAGGUAGUUGGUGAGGUAACGGCUCACCAAGCCUACGACGGGUAGCCGGCCUGAGAGGGUGACCGGCCACAUUGGGACUGAGACACGGCCCAGACUCCUACGGGAGGCAGCAGUGGGGAAUAUUGCACAAUGGGCGAAAGCCUGAUGCAGCAACGCCGCGUGAGGGACGACGGC